CUCCAGUGCGGCGGCGAGUGGCGGCGGCCGGCUCCUCUGGUGACUGGUUCUUUUUCUCCGGUGAGGGUACUAGUGACUAGGGUUUAGGGUCAGGUGUGGGUGAGGUUAUUUAUAACCUUUCCCUUUUAAUCUCAGCCGUCCUUCACAAUUUAAUAUGGGCCGUCUGAUCGCGAUUAAAAUGGGAAUAAAUCUGGACCGUCCAUCACGAUGUGAUCUGGGCUGUCCGUGCGUGAUUCAAUCUGGAUCGUCCGCACGCGUGAGAUCUGGACUGUUCGAUCGCGUGCACACGGAUCGCCCACGUGGCUCCGUCCCGCGUGGCCUCCUGCGUCAGCUUCCUUGUCACGCGGCGUGUUCUGGUUGGUCGGGGCUGCUGACUGGGCUGC
rnacentral:lncRNA from 1 species